rnacentral:lncRNA from 1 species
UUAGGGGUUAGGGUGAACAUGGAUUCCAGUUUGCUCCCAGUCUCUUCAAUGCUGUGACUGGAUGAGACUCUUCUACACUACUGCAGAACAGAUAUGUGGUUCUAACAGGGCAUGAAGACUCCCCUCUAAUCUGGGCUUUCCUGUUGUGGAAAGGAUUCUAGGAAAGGAUGCCAACAGGCCAGAUGUCAUCUUUUUUGGUGGGCUGUACACAUCAGACUGGACUUGCCUUAAAUGAGAUUCAGACAAUCCUGUUUGCCAAAUGCCCAACAAGAAAAGAGCAGUUAUACAGAACUUGUGGUAGAAGGAGGGAAACUGAGGAUCUUAGAAAUCUCUGUCUGAUGACUAACUGCUACCAGUCAGAGUAUGGAGAGUUGGACACUUCACCACUCAGGUCAACAGAAGUCUGAAAAUAACAGCAAGAAAGAAAUGAAAAAGAAUCUCCCACAGAGGAAAUGAAGAGUAUGGGGAAGAAUCCUCAAGAGAUUGCAAGCUCUGAUCAAGUGUGCUCCUAAAGGGAAACAUUAAAGACAAUCUUCAAAACAAACAAAAAACAAAUAAAAAGCCGA